rnacentral:rRNA from 1 species
AUGAGAUUUAGUUUGCACACUAACGACUAUAGGUUGCGUAAUGUUUGGAGUGGUCUUCUUCCAUAUUUCUCCAGUUCAGUCAUGUAUUUCUUUGCGGCCAUUUUCGCUUCAAUAUUCCCUUAUUCUCACAUGUUGGUUGCGACUUCUUUGUUUAUGUUGGACUAUUCUGUGAACUGCCAUCAUAACAGCUUGCUGAAAAUAGUGUUGUCGGAUGGUAGCCAUUAUUGGUACAACUUAAGUGCUUAUCAGUUAACUUAUUUGAGCUCUACGGGGCAGCCAAAUGAUUAUUGGGUGAUUUAUUUGCAGUAA